rnacentral:rRNA from 1 species
CCUACAGGUGGCAGCAGUGGGGAAUAUUGGACAAUGGGGGGAACCCUGAUCCAGCCAUGCCGCGUGUGUGAAGAAGGCCCUCGGGUUGUAAAGCACUUUCAGUGAGGAAGAACGCCUGGUGGUUAAUACCCAUCAGGAAAGACAUCACUCACAGAAGAAGCACCGGCUAACUCCGUGCCAGCAGCCGCGGUAAUACGGAGGGUGCGAGCGUUAAUCGGAAUUACUGGGCGUAAAGCGCGCGUAGGUGGCUUGAUAAGCCGGUUGUGAAAGCCCCGGGCUCAACCUGGGAACGGCAUCCGGAACUGUCAAGCUAGAGUGCAGGAGAGGAAGGUAGAAUUCCCGGUGUAGCGGUGAAAUGCGUAGAGAUCGGGAGGAAUACCAGUGGCGAAGGCGGCCUUCUGGACUGACACUGACACUGAGGUGCGAAAGCGUGGGUAGCAAACAGGAUUAGAUACCCGAGUAGUC